GUCCCAGUUGCUCAGUGGUGGAGCGAUCGGCUGUGCACCGGUCAUAGCGUAGGUUCGAAUGCAACCUGGGAAG